rnacentral:lncRNA from 1 species
UUUGAAGAUCAAAAUGUAAAUUCUUUCUGCCCCCUUGUUAAAUAUUUAGUCAUAGAUUAGUACUUCUAUCAAAGUUGCCAUUUUAAUUUAGUGCUCAUAAUAUAUGUGAUGUGGAGGAGGAGGCUGUAUAUAGAAAAUCUAAGACUUCAGAGCAAAGGAGGAUUAAAAUGAUGAACAAAGAAAAAAACGUGUGAUCCCAAGCUGUCUCAGUGACAGAAUGUAGUGUGGUUUAGGUGAGUCCAAGUAGAUUCUCAUGGAUUGCAGUGCCAUGUGGUUUACCUCUGAGCUUUCUCCCUCUAUGAAGAAAAAUCUACAGACCAGGCAGCUGAAACUAGAACUGGAGGUUUUGUUACCAACUCUUGAGAAGACUGCUUUCCAUCUUUCCGCCUCAUCUGCUCUUCCAAACCACCUGGAAAUAAAGAAAGAAGAAACCAAAGAAUGA